rnacentral:rRNA from 1 species
AGUGAACGCUGGCGGUAGGCCUAACACAUGCAAGUCGAACGGCAGCACAGUAAGAGCUUGCUCUUACGGGUGGCGAGUGGCGGACGGGUGAGGAAUACAUCGGAAUCUACUUUUUCGUGGGGGAUAACGUAGGGAAACUUACGCUAAUACCGCAUACGACCUACGGGUGAAAGCAGGGGAUCUUCGGACCUUGCGCGAUUGAAUGAGCCGAUGUCGGAUUAGCUAGUUGGCGGGGUAAAGGCCCACCAAGGCGACGAUCCGUAGCUGGUCUGAGAGGAUGAUCAGCCACACUGGAACUGAGACACGGUCCAGACUCCUACGGGAGGCAGCAGUGGGGAAGAUUGGACAAUGGGCGAGAGCGUGAUCCAGCCAUACCGCGUGGGUGAAGAAGGCCUUCGGGUUGUAAAGCCCUUUUGUUGGGAAAGAAAAGCAGCAGGUUAAUACCCCGCUGUUCUGACGGUACCCAAAGAAUAAGCACCGGCUAACUUCGUG